AAGAAAAAAAAUCUAGUUUUAAGAACAAAAAUCUUAAAGUAAGAAAAUAUAACUAGGCAAGAAUAUUCGAGAGAAUUUUUUUCUUAUUUUAAGAAUAACAUUUUCCCAUCCUAGAAUAAUAUUCUUAUAAUUAGAAAAACAAUCUUGAAAUGAAGUUUAAUAUUAUUUAUGGCAUAUAUCAAAACCUUUCUUUCGGCAACUUUUGCAUGGCCGAAACGAGCUAGAUAUGAUAUUGAAUUGAAUUAAACCUAGUUCUAUUGUAUAUCUUUCACUUUUUUUGUCAAAUUUGAAGUUGAAGGGCUCUGUCCUGAAUUGUCGCAGCUUCAACAUGGCGGAUAUCACAAUGAAUUUGUAUUAUUGUAUAUGGCGCAUUUAUGGCCAAUGAAUUGUUAUUGAAAAAUAACAAUUAUACAUGAGUUCAAAUCAUUUGCAACAAUCGUCUAUAUAUACACUUUGAUGAAGAUGGUAUGAUCCACCGCAAAAAAUGAUGUGUAAAUUUACCCACAUCAUUGUUGGAAAAGUUUAUCAGUAAGUUGCAGACGCGCUAAUUAUGCCUCUUGGUACGAUGCUGGCGGAUAAGUAUUAGCUAUACGCAUACCAAGUUUUUGAAUUCCCUCAAAAUCGUAGAACCAGGUAGAUUGUCAGGAAAUACUGGAUAAGCACACUCCAUGCAUGCAUCAAGGAUCGAAUACAUGAUUUAAAAAUUGGACUAAUUCUUUACUACCUACUUUAGAGUGUCUUAACUGAGUUAAAAAAGAGUCGUUUGGAUGCUUUAUUUACAAUUUCAGAAACAUGUUUGUUCCCCAUAUGUUAUGAUCACAUUUUGCAAGUGCUUAUACUGUCAUAGUUAUAUAUGGACACGAUAUUAUAUGGUUCUAUUCAGUGGCGUAGCCAAGGAGGGGCGACCGCCCCCCAAUCGCCACAAAAACCAUUCUCUCAAAAGGCUAAAUCCAUAGAGAAAUUGCCCCCCCCCAUUUCUCUGUGGAUUUAGGCCUUUUGAGAGAAUGGUUUUUGUGGCGAUUGGGGGGCGGUCGCCCCUCCUUGGCUACGCCACUGAAUUACACGUUACAUUCUCGAAGUUAAAAGUCUCGAUCUAAGACAACGACGAUUUACUGCAUGGAGGAGCUUGAUGUGUGAAAUCUCGUUAAAGCAUUUGUAUAUAUGAUUCCAAGAAUAGAUUUAGUUUAGAUUUUCGACUGUUAAAUUGCCAUGUAUAUCAUUGCCAUAGCAUUGAAUAUUUUUUCUCAAAUUUAUUAUGUAUAUCAUGUAUCUUACGAAAAGUAAUGCAAUUUUGAGAAAGCGAAAAAUGCGUCUCAUAUAGAAUUAUCUAAAUGCAAAAUUUCCGAUCAAAAUUACAUUGCGAUUUUCUUCGCUCCCCUCCCCCAACACGCACAGAAGAAAAAUAAGCUGACACGGACUCCUCUUCCAGUUUUCCAACGUGACUUUUCUAUGCAAUUCAUUUAGAUCCGCGAAGAGAAAUAUCUGGUAAAAAAAUCAUGUCUUUGAUGCACUUGAUAAUCCUCGGAAUUCUGCAAAUUUCACCCACAAAAUGCUUCAAAUCGCAUUUCCGGGACUCUAGAUUUCAAAUUUUGGAAUGUUACGCCACUGACAAACUAGUCAUGCAGUAGGAAAUAGGAGUAAGAAGCCAAUUUUGAAUGACAUUAAUAUAUUUUCCAUUUGAAAAGCCAUAAUUCACAUUAUUAUUUCGCAACCCUGCCCGCCGCCUAAUUUAGAUAACAUGCAUGUCGAUGAUUUAGAAUUUAGAAUAAAGAGGUUCUUUUUAAAAUCAUUUGAAUUCGGUCUCCCAAGGAGAGAUGUUACAAAUAUACAGACAGCUUGUCUGCUAUAAGUAAUUAUACUUUAAUCUAUUGCCAAAAGCUUAAAGCAUUUUUAAAUUAAUUGAUCAUUUUCC
rnacentral:lncRNA from 1 species